AGUGGGGAAUUUUGGACAAUGGGCGAAAGCCUGAUCCAGCCAUGCCGCGUGCGGGAAGAAGGCCUUCGGGUUGUAAACCGCUUUAGUCCGGGAAAAAGGGGUGCGAGGAUAAUACCCUCGUGCUUUGAUGGUACUGGAAGAAUAAGCACCGGCUAACUACGUGCCAGCAGCCGCGGUAAUACGUAGGGUGCGAGCGUUAAUCGGAAUUACUGGGCGUAAAGCGUGCGCAGGCGGUCUUGUAAGACAGUCGUGAAAGCCCCGGGCUUAACCUGGGAACUGCGAUUGUGACUGCAAGGCUAGAGUGUGUCAGAGGGGGGUGGAAUUCCACGUGUAGCAGUGAAAUGCGUAGAGAUGUGGAGGAACACCGAUGGCGAAGGCAGCCCCCUGGGAUAACACUGACGCUCAUGCACGAAAGCGUGGGGAGCAAACAGGAUUAGAUACCCUGGUAGUCCACGCCCUAAACGAUGUCAACUGGUUGUUGGAAGGGUAACCUUUUAGUAACGAAGCUAACGCGUGAAGUUGACCGCCUGGGGAGUACGGUCGCAAGAUUAAAACUCAAAGGAAUUGACGGGGACCCGCACAAGCGGUGGAUGAUGUGGUUUAAUUCGAUGCAACGCGAAAAACCUUACCUACACUUGACAUGCCAGAAAUCCUGCAGAGAUGUGGGAGUGCCGCAAGGAAUCUGGGCACAGGUGCUGCAUGGCUGUCGUCAGCUCGUGUCGUGAGAUGUUGGGUUAAGUCCCGCAACGAGCGCAACCCUUGUCACUAGUUGCUACAUUUAGUUGGGCACUCUAGUGAGACUGCCGGUGACAAACCGGAGGAAGGUGGGGAUGACGUCAAGUCCUCAUGGCCCUUAUGUGUAGGGCUACACACGUCAUACAAUGGUCGGUACAGAGGGUUGCCAACCCGCGAGGGGGAGCUAAUCUCACAAAGCCGAUCGUAGUCCGGAUCGCAGUCUGCAACUCGACUGCGUGAAGUCGGAAUCGCUAGUAAUCGUGGAUCAGCAUGUCACGGUGAAUACGUUCCCGGGUCUUGUACACACCGCCCGUCACACCAUGGGAGUGGAAUCCGCCAGAAGUAGUUAGCCUAACCGCAAGGAGGGCGAUUACCACGGUAGGUUUCAUGACUGGGGUG
rnacentral:rRNA from 1 species